UCAAGGAGAGGGGUCAGUAUCCUCACAUAUCACUCCCAUGUGUUCACAAGAUCACUUCACAAUCAUUAAGGAUUCCUCACAAAAUGUUAACCUGAAAUGAACUCCGCCGCGCCGGAAUUCAUCACCGGCGACGAAGGAGACUCAAAUAAAAAAAACUUCAUGUCAAACUCUUCAUGUCAACCUCGUCGUCCCUAAUUCAACCUCGAUUUCUCCCAAUUUCCACUCUAUUAACUAAACCGAAACAAGUUAUUUAAGAACCCUAACCUCCUAAGUCAAAAUUAAACAAAGCAAAAAAGGAGUUAGAGCCUACACCGUUAGGGCUUUAAUUCCUUGGACCAGAAACUACAUGACUGUGAUUGAAAUGAAGCAAAUUAGAUGUCAAUUCCUACCUACAAGGAGGAAAAGUUCCUCUGUGAGUGUUGAAUUCAAAGGUGGAGACGAUGAAGCGAAGAACGAAAUCCAGAUAAUAUCCAGGUUUUAUCAUAUCAAGGCUUGGAGGAUGCAACUUUGGUAAUAAAGUCAAAGCAUGGUUCAUGGACAAACAUGAAAAAUCAAGAAUAAAUGAAGGUCUUGGGGACUCAAAUGAAUGGGAUGGCUUGUGGGAUAAUUAAGACCGGAAUUAGAGUUAGGAUAGUUAGAAACUUAGUCAGUUGACUUUGGUCAAUUGGUUGUUCAAAAAGUAAAUAGUUGACCAAAAGUCAACCUAGGUCAAUAUGUUUUUUUAUGUAAUGACUUAUGAUGUAAUGCUUGGGUUUUGAAAUGAAAAUGGAUUUUGAAUGAAA